rfam:Aedes albopictus isolate Foshan contig52635, whole genome shotgun sequence.
UAGCCUAGUGGUUAAGGCUAUGGAUCGCCGAUCCGGAGAUGGCGGGUUCGAUUCCCGU